rnacentral:rRNA from 1 species
CCUACGGGAUGCAGCAGUGAGGAAUAUUGGUCAAUGGGCGCGAGCCUGAACCAGCCAAGUCGCGUGAGGGAAGACGGUCCUAUGGAUUGUAAACCUCUUUUGUCGGGGAGCAAAAGACGCCACGCGUGGCGUUCCGAGAGUACCCGAAGAAAAAGCAUCGGCUAACUCCGUGCCAGCAGCCGCGGUAAUACGGAGGAUGCGAGGUUUAUCCGGAUUGUUUGGGUUUAAAGGGUGCGCAGGCGGAAGAUCAAGUCAGCGGGAAAAUUGAGAGGCUCAACCUCUUCGAGCCGUUGAAACUGGUUUUCUUGAGUGAGUGAGAGGUAAGCGGAAUGCGUGGUGUAGCGGUGAAAUGCAUAGAUAUCACGCAGAACUCCGAUUGCGAAGGCAGCAUACCGGCGCUCAACUGACGCUCAUGCACGAAAGUGUGGGUAUCGAACAGGAUUAGAUACCCCGGUAGUC